GACGAACGCUGGCGGCGUGCUUAACACAUGCAAGUCGAACGGAAAGGCCUGCUUUCCCUUGUGGAUUGCGGGUACUCGAGUGGCGAACGGGUGAGUAACACGUGAGUGAUCUGCCCCCAACUUGGGUAUAAGCCUGGGAAACUGGGUCUAAUUCCCGAUAGGACUGCAGGGUGGUGCCUGUGGUGGAAAACGAUUUUCUAGUGGUUGGGAUGAGCUCGCGGCCUAUCAGCUUGUUGGUGGGGUAAUGGCCUACCAAGGCGGCGACGGGUAGCCGGCCUGAGAGGGUGGACGGCGACAUUGGGACUGAGAUACGGCCCAGACUCCUACGGGAGGCAGCAGUGGGGAAUAUUGCACAAUGGGCGGAAGCCUGAGGCAGCGACGCCGCGUGGGGGAUGACGGCCUUCGGGUUGUAAACUCCUUUCGAGCGCGAGGAAGCCACCUGGUUGGAAGGGUGGUGACGGUAGUGGUAGAAGAAGCACCGGCUAACUACGUG
rnacentral:rRNA from 1 species